AGAGCCAAAGAGAGAGAGAGAGAGAGAAAGAGAGAGAAAACGAGAGAGGGGGGGGCGGCGAGGGUUUCCGAUCUCUCCCUUUGAAGUUUAAGAACAGUCCAGUUCCACUAACGGCAGAAUGUGUUAUUAUUCCUUCGUCUGCGAUCAUCUACAGCGGGUCACAAAAGGGUUCUAAAGAUGACAUUUAAAAGGCGAAAAUGCGAGUGACAAAAAUGAACGGAUCUUUUGUGCCGGCGCGGACAAAAAAGCGUUUACGUGGAAGUCAAGGAAGAGGGAGAAUUUUAUCCAGAACUUCUCUGAGCCGGAGUGCUUGGAGCUAUGGUACUUUAGUUUGGUAACAAAGAGUAAAUUGUUUCUUGAGCACCGAUUGUGAGGCAACUUUCUAAAGGGCGAUGUAAUUCGCGUUUCUGAACACGGACAAGCGGCCAGAAAAAUGGAACAGGAUUAAAUAAUGUAUUUGUUAAUUGGUGACUGCUUACCCAAAAAUACUGCGGAUUGAAGCCAGGAAUUUUCGUGUGCGUGGCUCCGACUUGCUGAAGACAGGUCAAGAAAGUGUCGAUGUCGUCGAGCCCUUUGAUUCCUUCGUCGAGGGCCGACAUCACUUUCUCCGCGUGCUGCGCCAAUUCCAUGCUGUUAGUUUGCUGCUCUUUCGUCUUCAAUUCGCGAAAUUGCGUGAACAUAUUUAACAACUCCUCGUUCUCCUCGAACAACCUACAAAUGGGCAAAAUCGUUCAAAAUUCACAGCAUGUUCGCCCACUUCCUGCAGAGUUAGGAGAAAAAUAAGAGAUACUGGCGUGCAGUAUUUGUCUCUAUCAGUCUCGCUGGUCGCGUGCAACUACUUGGCAAAGUAGGUACCAAAUUAGUUGGCCGGUCAAGGACUCUGAGAGGAGACACUCUGUGGAUCGGGACUCCUUCUCGCGUUCUGUUCCUGUGUUCACUUUGCUAUCGUGGAAGAUGAAAAUGGGAAAAUGUGUCAUGGAUACUGGAGGUACCGAGUGUUUCAAAAGGCAGUCUAAUUCAAUGGACGUCCAGAAUCAGUUUGUGGCAGAAUUUCGAAGAAUAUAUUGCAGUUUAUUUUACCCACCCUAUGUGCAAUACCGGUGCAACGACGUCGCAAGGAGACCCAAAAAGCCUGUGAGAGGCACCUACCCAUGGCCUUCUUGGUCUCUUCACCGAAUGGCAAGUGGAGAAUACGUGCAUAGGGCAGAACGGUGCACCACCACCUAGUAGCAAGUAUUUGACCCACAUUUCUAUCAACAAUCGUUCGCACAUGAAAGGUCAAACGAAUCUUCAAAAGUGCGAAUUCAAAUGCAGACGCUAUGACAAAAAGUCACUGACAAUACAAUUAUUCAAAAUAUGACAACGUUUUGACUGCACAUAUUUGGGCGAUGGAAUUAUUUGAUCAAAUUUCGAAAUGGAUAGUUGGGUUGAUGAAUUGAGUGAUUUGCUUAUGAGUGAUCUACUUAGGUUUAUGCGGUGCGUCAGAUAUAUUUAAAAAAAUAUAAUAGUUAGUUCUCUUAGUGCCAUACACAUAAGUCGUGUUAAACCUAUUUUUUGCAUUAAUACUUGAAUCUCCAGAUAAUAUUUGAUAAGGUUUUCGAACAGCUUUUCAAACACAAUAAUUUUUUAAAAACUAGACUAAAUUAUUUGAAUUUGUUUGGAGUUGUUAGAUGGA